GUCGAGCCUCUCUGCAGCCUCGAAGUUUUGCUUUGCAGAUCUAUCGUUCUUGCGCGAUAGAUCUGUUUCUCUGCUUGUCUAAUCAUAUAGAUCGCUUCUCGAUCUACAAUUUGAUAUCGGUUUUGGUGAAUUCGAGGUCAUCGAGAUUAUCUUCUGUACAUACUGGUAUCUGAUUUGUGUUUUUGCCAUAGAUCGAUGCUUCUUACAUGUUUUUCUUGCAUUUUUAUUACAUAUGUUUUAUUGUUUUCCGUUUUCGUGUAAGAUUUGUCAACAUAGUAGAUUCAAAUUUACCUGUUAUCUGAGUUUAUUUCAGGGAUUGCGAUCUGAGAUAUUUGUCCUUAGAGAUGGCGUAUUCUCUAUCAGAUCUUUGUUCUGACUUGGAGUCGUUUCCCGAUUGGCGCGGGGAUAUUACUCGGGGUGUGAUAGCGGAUGAUACAGCUGCUGAGCAUCUGAGGGGACGGAGUCUUCAACAUAUUGAUGGAUUUAUGUAAUCUGGGGAUGCGAAUCGAAUCAAAGGAAAGGUGCCUCUUCAUUGUUAGAAAAAAGAUGUAUAAGACAUCGGGACCAAGGCCUAACUUAUUUGGUCUGUGUUUCGGUUGUUCUUUGUCAUCAGGCCUUUGCCAUGACAGGUGCGCUUGCAUGGCAGGUCACAAACAAUAAUAAAAAAAAUAUAUUUUUUGUUCGAGGGGGGGUUCGCACGGGGAUUUGCCCGGGUUCUCCCCUCCGGUGUGCCGUGUCCUGCUUUCUCUCUCUCUGUGUUUAUUCUUCUUGAUCUCUCCUACACAAGGAAAUCUGAGCAGCAGCAACGGCAGAUCCUGUGAGAUCUAGGCGCUAAAGGUACAUAUUACCAAGCAUACAAAGUUGAGUUUUAUUAUAAAUUAGCCUUGUGCAAUCCCAUUCCUUUUCUUUUUAGUUAUGGGAUGCAGCACAAAAGGCGCCUUAAUUCAGC
rnacentral:lncRNA from 1 species